GGUAGUUCAGUUGGUUAGAAUACCGGCCUGUCACGCCGGGGGUCGCGGGUUCGAGCCCCGUCCGCUCCGCCA
rnacentral:tRNA from 1 species